UUCUGGGCUGGUUUAUGGAAAGCGUAAGAACGCACGGCUGCUGUGGUCAAAAGGCAGCAGCCCAGGGUGACAGUUUCCCUCCACGGCUGCCGUUCUGUCUGUGGUUACUGAUUUGCAAUGUUUGGGGGAAAAUACAGUU